UUUUGUUUUGACUCCAGAAUUCAGUGGAAUACCACACUGCAUUUGGUCAUUAUGAUGGCUGUUCUCUGCCAAUAUGGUCUUUUCCUGGACUGUCUGAAUUGUAUCCUAACUCCAGGCUAUUUGGGGAGUGAAUAAACUACGGUCAGCCUAUAUGUUUUUCCAGGGGUCUCCCUGUAGCCCCAGCUGUCCUGGAAGUCACUAUGGCCUCAAACUCACAGAGAUCUGCCUGCCUCUGUGUAGGAGGCUAGGCAUGAGACCAACAGUGCAGGCACACCCUACUUCCUAUUGAUGAGCAGGAAGGCACUGCCCGGAAAUCUGCCCUGGCAGCUAGAAACCAACAACACAUCCACAGCUCCAAUAGAAGGAUGCCAACGGAACAUAAGGGACCAAUGG